GGAGCAGCCCAGAGCCUGAAUCAGUGUGUGUGUUAGUGGAAGCGUCUGGAAAGGCGUGCGAUACAGGGUGACAGCCCCGUACACAAAAAUGCACAUACUGUGAGCUCGAUGAGUAGGGCGGGACACGUGGUAUCCUGUCUGAAUAUGGGGGGACCAUCCUCCAAGGCUAAAUACUCCUGACUGACCGAUAGUGAACCAGUACCGUGAGGGAAAGGCGAAAAGAACCCCGGCGAGGGGAGUGAAAAAGAACCUGAAACCGUGUACGUACAAGCAGUGGGAGCACGCUUAGGCGUGUGACUGCGUACCUUUUGUAUAAUGGGUCAGCGACUUAUAUUCUGUAGCAAGGUUAACCGAAUAGGGGAGCCGAAGGGAAACCGAGUCUUAACUGGGCGUUAAGUUGCAGGGUAUAGACCCGAAACCCGGUGAUCUAGCCAUGGGCAGGUUGAAGGUUGGGUAACACUAACUGGAGGACCGAACCGACUAAUGUUGAAAAAUUAGCGGAUGACUUGUGGCUGGGGGUGAAAGGCCAAUCAAACCGGGAGAUAGCUGGUUCUCCCCGAAAGCUAUUUAGGUAGCGCCUCGUGAAUUCAUCUCCGGGGGUAGAGCACUGUUUCGGCAAGGGGGUCAUCCCGACUUACCAACCCGAUGCAAACUGCGAAUACCGGAGAAUGUUAUCACGGGAGACACACGGCGGGUGCUAACGUCCGUCGUGAAGAGGGAAACAACCCAGACCGCCAGCUAAGGUCCCAAAGUCAUGGUUAAGUGGGAAACGAUGUGGGAAGGCCCAGACAGCCAGGAUGUUGGCUUAGAAGCAGCCAUCAUUUAAAGAAAGCGUAAUAGCUCACUGGUCGAGUCGGCCUGCGCGGAAGAUGUAACGGGGCUAAACCAUGCACCGAAGCUGCGGCAGCGACGCUUAUGCGUUGUUGGGUAGGGGAGCGUUCUGUAAGCCUGUGAAGGUGUGCUGUGAGGUAUGCUGGAGGUAUCAGAAGUGCGAAUGCUGACAUAAGUAACGAUAAAGCGGGUGAAAAGCCCGCUCGCCGGAAGACCAAGGGUUCCUGUCCAACGUUAAUCGGGGCAGGGUGAGUCGACCCCUAAGGCGAGGCCGAAAGGCGUAGUCGAUGGGAAACAGGUUAAUAU
rnacentral:rRNA from 1 species